GGCCGCGUGGCCUAAUGGUUAAGGCGUUGGUUUUCGGUUAGCGUAAUCACCAAAGAUUGGGAGUUCGAAUCUUCCCGCGGUCG
rfam:Exophiala spinifera strain CBS 89968 unplaced genomic scaffold supercont1.2, whole genome shotgun sequence.